ACCUUCGUGGUGUAAUGGUAGCACACUCGGUGCGUAUUCGAGAGGUCCAGGUUCGAGUCCCGGCGAGGGCA
rnacentral:tRNA from 1 species